CUACGGGCGGCUCCAGUGGGGAAUCUUGCGCAAUGGGGGAAACCCUGACGCAGCAACGCCGCGUGGAGGAUGACGCAUUUCGGUGUGUAAACUCCUUUUAUAUGUCAAGAAAAUGACGGUAGCAUAUGAAUAAGCACCGGCUAACUCCGUGCCAGCAGCCGCGGUAAUACGGAGGGUGCAAGCGUUACUCGGAAUCACUGGGCGUAAAGGACGCGUAGGCGGGUUGGAAAGUCAGGUGUGAAAUCCUACAGCUUAACUGUAGAACUGCACUUGAAACUUCUAAUCUAGAGUAUGGGAGGGGGAGAUGGAAUUAGUGGUGUAGGGGUAAAAUCCGUAGAUAUCACUAGGAAUACCUAAAGCGAAGGCGAUCUCCUGGAACAUUACUGACGCUAAGGCGUGAAAGCGUGGGGAGCAAACAGGAUUAGAUACCCCCGUAGUC
rnacentral:rRNA from 1 species